rnacentral:ncRNA from 1 species
CUCUAUCCGGAUUAAAAGGGAAUCGGGUGUAAAUCCCGGACAGUCCCGCUGCUGUGAAGCUCCGUCUGAAUUUCCGAUAACAACUGUUGCCACUGGGAUACCUUUUUGUAAAUAGAUAAGGAGUCACCGGGAAGGCGUCGGAAACAAGGAGUCAGUCAGAAGACCUGCCGCUUAUCAA